rnacentral:tRNA from 1 species
GAUUGUGGCUCAGUGGUAGAGCAUUUGCCUAGCACAUGCAAGGCCCUGGGUUUGAUCCUCAGCAACA